rnacentral:rRNA from 1 species
GCUCAGGAUGAACGCUAGCUACAGGCUUAACACAUGCAAGUCGAGGGGUAGCAGGGUAGCAAUACCGCUGACGACCGGCGCACGGGUGAGUAACACGUAUCCAACCUUUCCAUAACUCGGGGAUAGCCUUUCGAAAGAAAGAUUAAUACCCGAUAGUACUUUAUUAAGGCAUCUUAAGAAAGUUAAAGAUUUAUUGGUUAUGGAUGGGGAUGCGUUCCAUUAGAUAGUUGGUGAGGUAACGGCUCACCAAGUCUUCGAUGGAUAGGGGUUCUGAGAGGAAGGUCCCCCACAUUGGUACUGAGACACGGACCAAACUCCUACGGGAGGCAGCAGUGAGGAAUAUUGGUCAAUGGGCGAGAGCCUGAACCAGCCAA